rnacentral:rRNA from 1 species
UGGGGAAUAUUGGACAAUGGGCGCAAGCCUGAUCCAGCCAUGCCGCGUGAGUGACGAAGGUCUUCGGAUUGUAAAGCUCUUUUAGCAGGGAAGAUAAUGACGGUACCUGCAGAAUAAGCUCCGGCUAACUCCGUGCCAGCAGCCGCGGUAAUACGGAGGGAGCUAGCGUUGUUCGGAAUUACUGGGCGUAAAGCGUACGUAGGCGGUGACUCAAGUCAGAGGUGAAAGCCUGGAGCUCAACUCCAGAACUGCCUUUGAAACUAGGUCGCUAGAAUCACGGAGAGGUGAGUGGAAUUCCGAGUGUAGAGGUGAAAUUCGUAGAUAUAGGAAGGAACACCAGUGGCGAAGGCGACCACCUGGACUGAUACUGACACUGAGGUGCGAAAGCGUGGGGAGCAAACAGGAUUAGAUACCCACGUAGUCCCUGAGCGGGCUGGCAAGGCGCAU